UAAGGAACUUUUUCCAGAAAAUGGUCAGUUGUGUAGCUUGUGGCUAUUCAAAAACACCAAAGAAAAACAAUUCCGGUGUAACAUUUCACAGAUUUCCUAAGGAUGAAAGACUCAUUGUCUCCCUAUGUACAAGCUGUGAUUGUUUAUAUUGCUGGUGUUGUUUCUUUUAAAAUUGGACAGAAACUGAAAUGUGAACAGUGUGUUGCACAGUUAUUUGGAGUUAAGGAGGAUUUCCUAAACUCCUUGAUUGCAACAAAAUCAAAGGGUGGUUUGAGUUACCCAAGUAAUGGAGUCAUUGCAAUAUGCCAGACUGCAGAAAAAUUUUUAAGAAGCCAAUCAUAUUCAAAUAAAAAAAUUAACCGUGAAGAAGUUUCACUUAAAGUAAUGAAACAUUUUAUUGGAAAAAGUGUGUUUGAUGAAAUGAUUUUUCAUGAUUUUUCCCCAUUAGAGAGUCAUGAAACUCUUUCAAUUAAAAGUAUUUCAAAUUGUUAUUUAAACACGAGGUUGAAUUAUAUUUGUAAAAAUACUGUAAAUGAAGAUAGAAUAAGGAAUUUGUAUAAUAGAUUGAUUCUCUUUAAAAACCAAUAAACAUUAAAAGUGACGUUCUAUAUA